UACUCACAUAAGGUGCAGCGGCGGGGAAAGAACAGAGCUUUUUAUUGAUGGGCAAAAAAAGAGCUUCAGCAGGGGAACCAAAUUAGGGUCCGUCAGUAGGCUGGCUGGCUGGCGGCGGCGGCGGCGACGGCGGCGGCGGCGGCGACGGCGGCGGCGGCGACGACGGCGACGGCAACGGCGGCGGCUACAAUCGGCGAUGUCUUCCUCCUCCCGCGCGUCGUAAUCAGGCGGAGGUCGCGGGCGUAGGGCUCCAUCAAGGUCGCCCGUGCAAGAAGUCUCCUCCCUGGAAGAUACUAGUGCUGCGUCCAUGAAAUUUGGCAUAGUGAUCCCUGCUCCCCAAUCCUUGCAGAACUACUGCUCGAUCUUAGGGCUGCAAUCAGGAGGUUUGAAGCUGCAGGUGGUGAUGACUGGCAACCAUGAUUGGAACAGGGCCAAAGAAUUGGAACAGAGGAUGCACUGAGUCAACAAGUUCUGGAGAAGAAUGCAGAGAUUGAACCAAAAAUGUUAUUGGCAGGUGUAUUUACAGGAUUUGUACUGCAUUAAUAGCUAGAAGAAAAAUGUAAUGCCAAAAUCUUGUAAUGGCUGAAUGAUGUAAUGGUUGGAUGAUGUAAUGAUAUUCCAUGCUGCUAUUUAUGUGGUAAUUGAUGGUUCAUUUUGUUA